rnacentral:rRNA from 1 species
AACGAACGCUGGCGGCAGGCUUAACACAUGCAAGUCGAACGCCCCGCAAGGGGAGUGGCAGACGGGUGAGUAACGCGUGGGAACAUACCCUUUUCUACGGAAUAGCUCUGGGAAACUGGAAUUAAUACCGUAUACGCCCUACGGGGGAAAGAUUUAUCGGGGAAGGAUUGGCGCGCGUUGGAUUAGCUAGUUGGUGGGGUAAAGGCCUACCAAGGCGACGAUCCAUAGCUGGUCUGAGAGGAUGAUCAACCACAUUGGGACUGAGACACGGCCCAAACUCGUACGCGAGGGAGGAGUGGGGAAUAUAGGACAAUGGGGGCAAGCCUGAUCCCGCCAUGCCGCGUGAGUGAUGAAGGCCUUAGGGUUCUAAAGCUCUUUCACCGAUGAAGAUAAUGACGGUAGUCGGAGAAGAAGCCCCGGCUAACUACGUG